rnacentral:rRNA from 1 species
AGAAUCAACGCUGGCGGCGUGCCUAACACAUGCAAGUCGAACGAGAAAGUGGAGCAAUCCAUGAGUACAGUGGCGCACGGGUGAGUAACACGUGACUAACCUACCCUUGAGUGGGGAAUAACCUGGAGAAAUCUAGGCUAAUACCGCAUAACACCUACGGGUCAAAGGAGCAAUUCGCUUAAGGAGGGGGUCGCGGCAGAUUAGCUAGUUGGCGGGGUAAUGGCCCACCAAGGCAGUGAUCUGUAUCCGGCCUGAGAGGGCGCACGGACACACUGGAACUGAAACACGGUCCAGACUCCUACGGGAGGCAGCAGUGGGGAAUUUUGCGCAAUGGGGGAAACCCUGACGCAGCAACGCCGCGUGGAGGAUGAAGUCCCUUGGGACGUAAACUCCUUUCGACCGGGAAGAUAAUGACGGUACCGGAAGAAGAAGCCCCGGCUAACUUCGCGCCAGCAGCCGC